GGAGAGGUGGCCGAGUGGCUGAAGGCAACGGUUUGCUAAACCGUAGUGGCGCUGAAAGGCGCCACCGAGGGUUCGAAUCCCUCCCUCUCCG
rnacentral:tRNA from 2 species